rnacentral:rRNA from 1 species
UUACAUAAGUUGUGUCAGUGGCACAUCAUGAAGAAGUAAAAAGACCACUUCGCCUUGUUGUACAAGUUGCACGAGAAACUCAAGGAUGAAUUCAUUGCGGUGUUGAACCACCCACUAAUGCCGUCGGAUUUUGAACGGGCAUGGAAGGACCUCAUGCAGAAAUACAACUUGCAAAAUGAGGAAGUGAUGAAUUCGUUGUGGGAUGACAGGCAUGAGUGGAUCUUGGCUAACUAAAAGGAAUUUUUCUAUGUUCGGAUGAUUUCCACGCAGAGAAGUGAGAGCAUGAAUCGUAUAUUGAAGAAAAACUUUUUCAAAGAGAAGCAUGAUCUCCAUCUGUUUUCUCAACAGGUGGACAAGUGCAUUCAGACCAGGAAGGUCGUCGAGCACGCAGAGACAGUUGGAAAUGAGUCAAAAGUAAAGACAAAGACCCAGUUUGGGUUCAAAUUUCAGCUGUCGAAAGUAUACACAAGGGCUUUUUUUUGCAGAUUCAAAGAAAUACUCUACCGCAGCACUGCAUUCAGAGCAGAAUAGUGCCCUGAGAACCCAACAAAAUACCUCGUACACCACUACAAAAUAUCGGAUGCAUUUGAUUGGGCAAGGCAUGAUUUCCAUUUGGUCGCCGAUGAAAUGAACAGUGUCUAUGAAUGUGAGUGCAAACUCUGGACACACACAGGGCUCUUUUGCGUCCAUGUGGUAUGCAUGCUUUGUCACCUGAGAGUACUCAAGAUUCCUGAGGCGUACAUCAUGAAAAGAUACACCCGGAACACAAGAUCAAAUCCAAUGUUUGACAGAAGAGACUACGAACAAACACCACCAGAUGGAAGUUCACUAUUUUGCCGUAGGAAAUUGCUGUCAGAAACAGCAAUGGACCUUGCAAACAGAGGGACAAGGUCCGACACCGGGUACCACAGGGCAUUGUCUUGUAUGAGGGCACUGAUCGAGGAAGUUGAUGUGUUCAAUGAAGAAGAAAAAGAAGAAGCAGCAAAAAUAAAACAAGCAGAGAAUUCCCAGCUUGACAAGAAUAUCGAGCAAGUAGAAAAUGUCGAACACAUCACAACUGGUGCAAUAAAAAAAGAAACAAGUCUUGCACCUCCUGUUUCAAACAUGGGAGGAAGGAAAAAAGGGGGUGAUGCAACCCAAAAAAGGCUGCAUGCAAGGAGAAAAAUGAUGACAAAAAUAAUAAGCUACAGCCUAAGCUGGACAAUGAUGGUCAGCCACUGA